AAUGGAAAAGUGACGAAUGCGGGCGGAGGCGAAUAUUUGGUACAAUAAAUAGGAGGGAGUUUUUGGGGAUUUGCUAGUCCCAAUUUCGUGCGUGAGCAUUACAAUGAAGACGAUACAGCGAUGAAGAACGGAGGCUUCACUUUUGCACAUGCUCAAAAUGCUAAAUGCAUAACGGUAAUCCAAAAAUAAGUGGGCCAAAACGGAAGAAGCUGAGAAACAGAUGUAUGCAAUGGGGCACAUACGCGAUUGGAAAUUCCUCUGCAGAAGGAAAAUCUUAGUUUUUUACCUUUUUGUUUAUAGCUCAUUUGGCAUUCCGAAAUAUUUGCAUCGCGCCACAAUUACAAAUAUAUUUAUUUGCAAAAACACACACUCGAAAAAAAAUCAAGCAGUACACAUACGCGCGAAUUUUUUGGAGAUUUGCUUUGAAUUCUUACGCGCUCAGCAACAACAACAACGAGAAACCGAAUAAACCGCUAUGUUCGCUUUCUCAAUGAAAACAGGGUUGUAAGUGAUUUAAAUUCGAGUCCACUUAUUUUGUAUCCUUAUCAAGAAUUGAAAUACCAAAUUCUUAUAAUUUUCGCGGCGGUUUAUGGUUUUUUUUAUUUUAAUUUUUAAACGAGGAACGACAUCCAAAUCAACGGUCGUAGUUUUGUUUUGUGACGAUUUUUAUGGCGAUGGUCGCUAGGGAUGGACAAUCGGAGCCGCAAAUGAAAUCGAAAAACCAUCUCUAUAUCAGCGCAAAAUAUCGCCAACGUGGAAAACUUGGGUAUGGUGCGAAAAAAUGCUUUGGAAUAGCGAAGACAUAAACCGGAAGAGGAAUUGCCAGAAAAAACGUUAUUUUAAUUUAAAAUAGCUCAAAAUAAUUGUGCAUGUGUGAUGAAAUUAUACCGCACAUAUCAGAAUCUCCAACCCAAAUAGUCAUAAUAAAAGCCACACACUUCUUUAAUUUUACAACUCGACCGUCAUUUUUAUUUAUAUUUUUAUGGUAAAUCAUUAAAUUUAAUACAGAAAUUAGCAAAAAAAAUAUAAGGGGCAAUCAAUCAUUAUUCAUGACACGCAUUAAUAA